GCAAAGGGGAUAAAACUAGCAAUUCGCAAGAAAAUCCAAACGGCUGGCCGACCUGCGAAGGAAACAUCACGACCUAUUUGCAUAAAGAAAUGCAAACCUGAAACACCGGGCACGUGCGGUUUAGGGGAGCGGGCAGUCUCACUCACUACUGAGUUGUUUCCCAUCAGCCGUCAAUACAGACCUUCCACUGCGUGAGCCCACUGCGUUGCCAUUUAAUAAAACAGCAAGAAAAUGAGAGAGAAAAAUAAUGAGGUAGAGUUGUAUGGGAUUAUUAAGGAUUGAAUUUUCAAUAGAUUUAGUGAAAUAUACAAGUUACUGAAGUUUGUAGAAACGAACUGGUAAGUGUUUUCUCAUUUAUUUGUUUUUUAAGGAUAAACCCAAAUACAGGUAAAACUGUUGGAAAGGUAGGCAAGAAAUUGUUAAUGAGUUACUUCUAGGGACAAGGAAUGUGGGGUGGAAGAGGGAUUUUUCCCUUCUGCCAUCCAUACUGUGAAUUUCCUUGGCAGAAAUACCUAUUUCUUCUCUGGCAGUAAAAUCAAUGAAUUACUAAAAGUUCACUAAUGUACUCUUUGGUCCAACUAUUCCACUCUCAAGGAACUAAAAAAGCAAAGGAAGUACAGAGAUAUACAGAAGAUUCUAUACAAGGAUAUUCACGGAGCAUCAUUUUUAUCACCAAAAAUGUGCUCCAUAGAAAAGAAUUAAACUGUAUUCUGGUAAAUUUACACAGCACGAUUUUAAGUGGCUAAUAAAAAUGCUGUAUGAUUUUAACUUUAAAGGAAAAAAUCUGUAAGAUGUGGUUAAUUACCAAAAGGUGUUUACCUAAUGAGCACACAGACUUUAAUACCCCAAAUUAAACUUUAUAUUAUACUCAAGGAGUUAUCAGUGGUUGCUUGCUACACUGAGAAGCUGCUUUAUGUGUUUCAGACUCCCUAGACCAUCAACAGUCUCUUUUCGCCCAGCAGUGCCACAUAAACAUAAUAUACAAAUGAAAACACUGUGCUUAUGAAAAUACACGUUCAAAACAAGUUCCCCAGCAGGAAGACUGAA
rnacentral:lncRNA from 1 species